rnacentral:misc_RNA from 1 species
GAUGAAGAACGUAGCAAAAUGCGAUACUUGGUGUGAAUUGCAGAAUCCCGUGAACCAUCGAGUUUUUGAACGCAAGUUGCGCCCGAAGCCUUUUGGCCGAGGGCACGUCUGCCUGGGCUUCACGCAUCGCGUCGCCCCCCACAAUUCUUCGUAAAGGGAACAUGUGUUUUGGGGGCGGAUAUUGGUCUCCCGUGCUCAUGGCGUGGUUGGCCGAAAUAGGAGUCCUUUCGAUGGACGCACGAACUAGUGGUGGUCGUAAAAACCCUCGUCUUUUGUUUCGUGCUGUUGCUCGCAAGGUAAACUCUUUAAAAACCCCAAUGUGCCGUCUCUUGACGACGCUUCGACCGCGACCCCAGGUCAGGCGGGACUACCCGCUGAGUUUAAGCAUAUCAAUAAGCGGAGGA